rnacentral:pre_miRNA from 1 species
UUAGGAAUCACCUGGAGAGUUUAUUAAAAUGUAGAUUUGUAUUCAGUACUUCCAUACUGGAAUCUAGAAUCUAGAUUUCUAACAAACUCCAAGAUGGUCCUCAU